rnacentral:misc_RNA from 1 species
AACUUUUGGCAACGGAUCACUUGGCUCUCGCAUCGAUGAAGAACGCAGCGAAAUGCGAUACGUAAUGUGAAUUGCAGAAUUCCAGUGAAUCAUCGAAUCUUUGAACGCACCUUGCGCCCGUUGGUAUUCCGACGGGCAUGUCUGUUUGAGUGUCGCCAACCCUUCUCAACCCCUGCCUUGUUUGUCACGAAUAAGGAGAGUGGGCUUGGAGCAUGACCGUGUGUCGGGUCAACCGACUCGGUUGGAAUUCAAGAGCCUGCCGAAACAGAAUUUUCAUAAGCUCGACGUGAUAAUUCAUCGUGGUGCGACGAAAGUUCUUGACAAAGGUGGCUUAUCAACCAAACAUUUGUUUUGACCUCAAAUCAGGCAGGAUUACCCGCUGAACUUAAGCAUAUCAAUAAGCGGAGGCU